rnacentral:lncRNA from 10 species
UUGUAGGUUCUUUCCCCUUUUUCCUUUCCUUUUUUUUUCCCCCUUUUUCCUUUUUCCUUUCCUUUUUCUCUCACUCUGUCACCCAACCUGGAUGGGAGUGGAGUAUAGUGGUGUGAUCAUGGCCCACUGCAGCCUUAACUUCCUUGGCUCAAGUGAUCCUCCUGCCUCAGCCUCCUGAGUAGUUGGGACAACAGGCAUGCACUACCAUGCCUGGCUAAUUUUUUACUUUUUGUAGAGACAGGGUUUUGCCAUGUUGCCCAAGCUGGUCUCAAACUCCUGGGCUCAAGAGAUCCACCCACCUAGGCCUCCCAAAGUGCUCAUUUAAAAAUCAGUUAUUACCCACUCCCACCACUUCUAUUCAACAUAGUACUGGAAGUACUAUCAAGAGAGAGCAAUUAGACAAGAAAAAGAAAUUAAAGAUAUCUAAAUUGGAAAGGAAGAAGUAAAAUGAUCUCUCUUUGCACAUAAUGAAUUUUUGACAAGAGCACCAAAAAGACAAAAUGAGAAAAGGGUAGUCUCUUCAAUAAAUAGGUGCUGGAAUUUCCACAUGCAAAAGAAUGAAAUUAGACUCUUACAUUACACCAUACACAAAAAUCAAUCCAAAAUGGAUAAAAGAUCUGCUCAUACAUGUUAGGAUAGCUAUUAUCAAAAAGA